rnacentral:rRNA from 1 species
GACGAACCGUGCGAACGUUGUUCGGAAUCACUGGGCUUAAAGGGCGCGUAGGCGGCCCUCUUGGUCGUGGGUGAAAUCCCCCAGCUUAACUGGGGAAGUGCUUACGAUACCGGGGGGCUCGAGGGAGGAAGGGGCGGCCGGAACUGUCGGUGGAGCGGUGAAAUGCGUUGAUAUCGACAGGAACGCCGGUGGCGAAAGCGGGCCGCUGGCCCUCUUCUGACGCUGAGGCGCGAAAGCCAGGGGAGCGAACGGG